rnacentral:rRNA from 1 species
UACGGAGGGUGCAAGCGUUAUCCGGAUUCACUGGGUUUAAAGGGUGCGUAGGUGGGCAGUUAAGUCAGUGGUGAAAUCUCCGGGCUUAACCCGGAAACUGCCAUUGAUACUAUCUGUCUUGAAUGCCGUGGAGGUAAGCGGAAUAUGUCAUGUAGCGGUGAAAUGCUUAGAUAUGACAUAGAACACCAAUUGCGAAGGCAGCUUACUACACGAAAAAUUGACACUGAGGCACGAAAGCGUGGGGAUCAAACAGG